rnacentral:rRNA from 1 species
GAUGAACGCUAGCGGGAGGCUUAACACAUGCAAGUCGAGGGGUAAAAGGUAGCAAUACUUUGAGACCGGCGGACGGGUGCGUAACGCGUAUGCAACUUACCUUGUGCAGGGAGAUAGCCCGGGGAAACCCGGAUUAAUAUUCCAUAAAUCAUAUUGGCUGCAUGGUUGAUAUGUAAAAGUUAAGGCGGCACAAGAUAGGCAUGCGUCUGAUUAGCUGGUUGGUAGGGUAACGGCCUACCAAGGCGACGAUCAGUAGGGGUUCUGAGAGGAUUAACCCCCACACUGGUACUGAGACACGGACCAGACUCCUACGGGAGGCAGCAGUGAGGAAUAUUGGUCAAUGGGCGACAGCCUGAACCAGCCAUUCCGCGUGAAGGAAGAAGGCCCUACGGGUUGUAAACUUCUUUUCUGUAAGAAGAAAAAACUUAACGAGUUGAGGUAUGACGGUAUUACAGGAAUAAGCAUCGGCUAACUCCGUG